rnacentral:lncRNA from 1 species
GUGGAAGUCGACGAAGAUGAUGCCACAAACCCAGCCGGCCCAUUUAGGAUUCCAAAAUGUAGGAAGGAGUUUCAGCAAGCACAACACCUGAAAGCUUGCCAACAAUGGCUCCACAAGCAGGCAAUGCAGUCCGGUAGUGGCCCAAGCUGGACCCUCGACGGUGAGUUUGAUUUUGAAGAUGACAUGGAGAACCCCCAGGGCCCACAACAGAGGCCGCCACUACUCCAGCAGUGCUGCAACGAGCUCCACCAGGAAGAGCCACUUUGCGUUUGCCCAACCUUGAAAGGAGCAUCCAAAGCCGUUAAACAACAGGUUCGACAACAGCAAGGACAGCAGGGACAGCAGCUGCAGCAAGUAAUUAGCCGUAUCUACCAGACUGCUACGCACUUACCUAAAGUUUGCAACAUCCCGCAAGUUAGCGUUUGUCCCUUCCAGAAGACCAUGCCUGGACCCUCCUACUAGAUUCCAAACGAAACCCUCGAGUGUAUGAAUGUGGUUGUCGAUAUAUGUCAACGCCACACUUCAUCUCGUAAUAUGUAAGGUCUUAUCUAGGAUGUUUGAGGCUAUGUAAUUAGCACUACUCCGUAAUAAAAGAGGUUUUUAAUGUUUUAUUCGGUGUGCAUGCUCUCUAAGUGGUCCAAGAUUUUAGUAUUCGAGCAAAUUUUCCUAUCAAAUUUGUGCGUUACUUGAUCAACUUAACUCGUACAUGUACAUCCAUGGGCGAAUCUACGUGACGUAGGGAGGGGGCAGCUGCCCCCAUUUAAUUUUAAAAAUGUUAAAUAUAUAACCAUAACAAAACAGAUAAUGUUGACUAUAGUGGUUCUAGUGGUUAUUGCCUCCACUAACUAAAUAUAUUUCCUCCCGUUGGUUUAUGUUUUCAGUCACGUUUUUGCUUUUAUUUCUAAAGUUAUUUAGUUUCCAACAUAAAUUUUAAACUAUUUUCUAAUUUACAUCUCCUAUAAAUGCACAAUCUAAUUAUCAUUACUUUUAGGAUUUCAAGUCAUACAAUAAUAUAUAAAUCUAUGAUAUUAUUCUUUUUACUAUAUCUUGUUUUCUUUCAUCAUUUUUGUUAAUUAUUAUUGAAUAACUAUUUCUUGGAAUGUAUAUUUACUUUUAAGGAUAUAAAUUAAAGAGUAAUCACAUAUUUUAUAAAGGAAAACCAUUUUAAACUAACGUCUAUAUAUUCCUAUACAAUAUUUGAUAUAAUAUCGUCUAAUGGGUUACCUAUCCUCAGUUGGCUUCUCACCUCUCAUCCAAACCCUUUAAGUUGGGUAUAUCAACGUCGAUUUCGACUAUUUCAAGCUCUUUAGAGCUACCGUUUCAGGGUUACAAGUGAAGCGUAUCUAAGGGUUCCUUUACUUUGAGCACGUCUCUCCCUUUAACAUUGUUUUCUCAUGUUUUGUUGUAGUACUUUUAGUAUUCAUUUUAUAGUUGAAUGUUCCUCCGGUUGUAGUUCUUUAAGCCUUUAGGCCUUUAAUAUAUUGUGUUUCAAAAUAUAUAUAUAUAUAUAUAUAUAUAUAUAUAUAUAUAUCUAUAUAUGUAUAUAUAUUUAUAUUAGUUUUAAUUGUAGGUUCCUAAAAACUAUGGAAAAUCUAACCGAAGUAUCUAAAAUUAGAUAUUUAAUUUUCAGUUAGAUUUUCCAUAGUUUUUAGAAAUCUGUAAUGAAAUAUUAAUAUAAAUAUAUAAUUACAUAUAUACAUAUAUUAAGAAUUGUUUGGAUAGAACCCCCAUUAAAAAAAUACUCUAAUGUAAUUACAUAUUUUAUGAGUAGUAUUUGGAAGUAUGUUAUACCCAUCCCACCAGAUUUAUCCCACAGAGGGGUUAACUAUUUUAUGAUUCAGAAAACUUAAUCUGCAAAGUGAAAAUAUAACACGCAUCUAUCUCGUUUAAAUUUGCGGAGAACCUACAAGAGCCGUUUACAUAUUACUUAUAAUUUUUUUUAUAAGUAAUAUGUAAACGGAUAUUGUAGAUUUUCCGCAAGUUUAAACGAGAUAAGAUGUGUGUUAUAUUACUUAUAAUAAAAUAAUUAUUUCAUAUAUUUUUAAUUAUACUUUUAUCAGAAUAUAUUAUAUAGUUAUAACUAAAGUUAUAUAGAUAGUUAUAGUUUAACAUAUGAUUUAUGUGUAUAAAUAAUAAUUUACGGGAUGAUGUAUAUCCAUAAUUCAAAUUUGAUCGACAAUGGACAUGCAUCAGCCUAAAUUAUAAUUAGACCAAUCGUACGAAGUAGAUCCAGAUAGAACGAUUUUAAAUAUAUGAAAUAUAUGAAAAAUAUAUAUAUAUAUAUAUAUAUAUAUAUCUCCUAUACAUUAAAACAGAAGUCACUUUAGUGAUUUUUGCUGAGGUGGCACUCAUAUAGAGCUUCUCAGGAAAAACGAAUUCUAUUGGUUGGUUUUUUUGAAUUUCUCUUUUUCAUUUUUUUUUUCAUUCCCCUCCGUGUUUUCUAAAACGCCGUCGUAUGUCCUGAAUUUAUUCUUUUUUUUUCAAUCGCGUAUCAAUGGAAGCUCUAUAUGGUUUCGAUCCGAUGAAGAGAGUCCGACCAAAGGAAUUUGCUACUCCCUACUCUGCUACUUCAAUCAUAUCCAUCGCGAACAUCAACGAUAACCAGACGAGGUUUAGUUUGUCGAUACUCUCAGAAUUUACGGUUUUUUUGGUUUAUCUGAUUGGAUUCGACUUUUAAGCUAAUUGGCGAAGAUUUUUUUGGAUUCUCUGAUUGGAUUCGACUUUUAAGUUAUGAUACAAAGAUUGUUUGAUUUCUCUGAUUGGAUUCGACAUAUAUUAAGCUGUAAACUACGAUCUGCUUAUUAAAAUUUAGAAUAUUUGUAUCUAAUUGACUGAUUAACCUUCUUGCUGUUGAGGUCUUGAUUCUCUAGAACCAGACAAUUGCCACGACCAGAGAUGUCGUACGCGGACUGUCUACUGAUGGAACAAGAAGAGACAACUGACAUUUACAAGAAACUUGCAUUCGACUUCAGUCUCUGACUCAGGACUGUAAGAUUAUCUUCUCCUUAAUAACUCAACCAGCAUUUAGACAGUCCUCUCUUGAGAUAUUCAAGUUUGGUUUUUUUGUUUCAUUAGCACGAUUUAGAGCUUCACAUUACUAAUUCCGAUAGUCUGUUGCAUCGCUAAUUGCUAUUCGAUUUAGAGGUUCACAUUACUAAUUUAGUCUGUCGGUUUCAUUCCUUACGGUUUCCGGUCUGUUGGAUUUCGGAUUUUCAAGUUUGCUUUUAGUUUAAUUAUGGGAAAAAAUAUGAAUAGCCCAUUUAAAAAAGGCCUAAUAUAUUGUCGAUAGAUGUUAAGCCCAUAUAAUUAGAUAACUUGCGCAAGAUUGUAAACUAAUUUUCAUAUUAAUAACUUUCCUUAUUAUUCGAAUCAAUUACUUGCGCAAGUUAUUUUCGUAUUUAUUACAUUACUUGUGCAAGUUAAAAUCAUAUCAUAUGCAAAUCAAUUUAUGACAAUACACAAUUAAAAUAUUUCUUUAAACGAUUUCAAUCUUUAUUAGGGGUCAUUAAUAUGAUAAAUAAAUCGGCUUAAUAUAUAUAUGAGAAACCCGAAUGGUUAAAAUACAAACAUUCAGCUCUAACAAAAACAAUGGCAAUGGUGCGAGCCAAAAAAAAUAUUGUUUCUUAUGUGAGAGAAUUAAAACCCCGUAAAGAUACGUCCCGUAUUGAAGUUAGGAUUGUUCGCUUAUGGAGAAACUAUAACAAAGAAUCCGGAAACACCAUUGAAAUAGUGGUUGUUGAUAAAGAAGUAAGUAUACAUCAUACAACAUGGAUUUAUGAAAGAAGCAUCGUUUAUAUACUUAUUCUGCGUUUAUAAAACUCUUAUAAUUUUUGUGACCAGGGGACAAGAAUUCAUGCUUCAGUUGGUGAACAACUCAUCAAAAAAUUCGAUGACAAGCUACGAGAGGGAGAUGCGAUUGUCCUCCAGUUGUUCAAAGUGUACGAUGCAACUGGUGAAUACCGUACAAUGCCACAUCCUUACAAAAUUGGCUUCUUUCCAACAACUUUUGUUGGAAAAACUGAUGAUUUUCCAAGUGCAGUUCCCGAAAAGUAUUUCGCGGACUUUUCUGAUAUUCUUGGUGGAAAUUUGGAUCAUAACUGUUUGGUUGGUGAGUUAGUUUCUUACGCAGUUAAAGAGUCUUUCACUUUGUAGUAACUUGUUUCUGAUUUGACACUUAUUUUUAUUAUGUAGAUGUGGUUGGCCAAAUAGUUAACGAGGCUCUCUGGAAAACAAAAUAAUAAAAGUAAAAGACAACAUGAAGCUCUUGGUUGAGUUGCGUGACCCAAAGUAAGACCCGGUUUUUAAUCUUAGUUAUACUUUGCUAGCUAAACCUCUAUUAACUGUAUUUAACUUAAGUUUAUAUUAUACAUUAAUGUGAAGAUGAUGUGUACUCUGUGGGGUUUUUAUGCUAAACAAGUAUACGAUUACAGUAGGAGUAACAUGUCCACCAUGAUUAUUUGUGUUAUCAGAUUAUGUUCUGUUAAAGAGUGGAAAGGUAUAUAAUUGUGUUUCAAUUUGUGUAAAAUAAUUGCGAGCAUAACAUAUGAAUAAGAUCAAUAUACUUUGUAGGUGCUUACUCCAUAUCUAGCGGGUAUAAUUCAAUCCAUAUUCUGCUCAACCCAACACUUGAUUUUAUUGAGGAGUUCAAAUCAAGGUACGUGUCAUGCGUCUUACGUUCCAGACCUAUGGAGGAGUUCAAUACAUAUAGAUGUUUAUUUUAAUUUGUGAACGUCAUUUUCACUGACGGGAUUUUAAAUUAUGUGUGAUUAUUUGUGAUGGCAGUCUCCCUGAUGAUUCACUUGCUCUUACAAACAACGAUAGUAGCCAAUGGUCUGUUGGUACUGCUACUUCUAUUCGUGCCAGGUUUUUUGUUCUUAAUGAGAGGCUAACCAUCAGAGAGAUCAUUGACAAUACUCUGGUAUAUAGACUACACUCUUUGAUCUCAAAUUUUUUACACAUGCGUAUACUCCAUGUGUUAUCAAUGCUUUUAACAUAUUGUUAUUGACGAAUAGGUUGACACUUUUGUCACUCUGGGGACUAUUGAAACAAUUGAUACUGAACGUGGCUGGCAAUAUUUAAGUUGCAAAUACCACAGCAAAAAGUGAUGCCUACCACCAAUGUUGAUGCUGAUGGCCGGCCCUUGUUCUUCUGCAAUACGUGUGACAAAGAACACAGUGAUGUCAUUUCCAGGUAUUGAGCGGGUUAGAUAUACAAAUAGAUGAGUUGGGUAAAUCGUCACUGAAAUAGUCUGUGACGUUAAUUAAUUUUUUUGUACAGGUUCAAAUUAAUUGCCCAUGUCAAGGAUGAUAGCGGUGAGGCUAAUUUUCUUUUGUUUGACGCUAAUGCUCAACAAAUUGUGCGUCAUUCUGCUGCUGAACUCUAUGAUGAGGUACUCUUAUGCAAUAUAAUUAUACAUCAAUUAACACAAUAAAUUCGUUUGUUUAACCUAUCUCUAUGUAAUUGUAGAAUGAAGAUGAAGACUUCUUACCAGAAGCAGUUAGCGAUCUCUUUGGUAAGAGAGUCCUUUUUGAGAUUUCAGUUGACGCUGAUAACAUUAAAGGAAAGAGCUCUCAGUAUGUGGUUCGAUUGGCUACUGAUGACCGUGAAAUGGUUGAGGAAUUUGCUGAUUUGCCUCCUAAACCGGUAAUUUACUGCUUCUAAUUGCGAUUAAUUUGAUUGUUACAGGAGCAUAAUAUUGAUUCGAUUAAAUCUGUUUCUUGCAGGUCCUAAUGUUGGAGUCCGCAUAUGAUAUUUCCUCUGGUUCUGGUGGUUUUACAGCAACUCCUUUGUCCAAAAGAAAAAGCGAACAAGAUGACGAAAGUUACCUUGAGGAUCAACACUCUGUUAACAAGAAACUCUCUCAAAAGAAACUCAAGGGCGAGUGAACUGUCUCUUUUUCAAAUGUUGUCCUUUAUAUUGUUUGCUUAACUCAUCAAAUUACUUACAAAAUUUAUUUAAUUUUUUGCAGGUUUCUAAUUGAAUUUGCUUUCUUUAUCGAGAAAUGUACUUCAUAAUUUAUAUUAUUUAUGGAUAAUAUUUUGAUUUUUAUUAUAUUUUCUUUUAAUAUGUGUACAUAAAUGUUUGUUUAUUAUUUAUGGGAAAAUAAUAUUAUUCACCUAAAAUAAAGAAUUACGAUACAUAUACAAUACAAUUCUAAUUAAUGAUAAUAUAAAAUAUGUUACUUCUAAAACUAUACACUUUUUAUUCCAUUUUUUAAAUGAAAGUAUCUUCGUAAACACACAAAAUAUUUUGUGACGUUGCAAUUAUACAUACACACAAUAUCUGCCUUCAUACUGACGUUACUGUGUUCCCUCUCGUGAGGUGUGGACCGAGAGGAAACACAUGGUGCGGGCCAGUCACGUUCUUAUGCCCGCACAGGGUGCGAACGGAUCACCUAGUAUAUAUAUAACAGGGCGGAUAACUCAAAUUCCCAGUUUAUAUUGACUGUGGCUAGUAAGUCAACUUUAACUCCUAUGCUUCUGAUUACAGACUCUCUCAACUGCACUACCUCCAAAAUUAUAGACUCUCAUCACAUUUAAAACCAACUAAAUGUCUUUUUAUUUUAUGAAAUUAAGUUUUUACCUUCUUUCUAAAAGAAUCGUUCAUAACGUCAUGCCAAAACAUGAGCUAAACGUCGCAUAUAGCAUGCAGAUGCGGAUGACUAUUUUGUUCGUNNNNNNNNNNNNNNNNNNNNNNNNNNNNNNNNNNNNNNNNNNNNNNNNNNNNNNNNNNNNNNNNNNNNNNNNNNNNNNNNNNNNNNNNNNNNNNNNNNNNNNNNNNNNNNNNNNNNNNNNNNNNNNNNCGCUUAGUUCACUCUUUACUCAAACUAAAUCUCAUCAUAACAAACAAGGUUAAUAACAUACACAAAUGGCGAACAAGCUCUUCCUCGUCUCAGCAACUCUCGCCUUCUUCUUCCUGCUCACCAAUGCCUCCAUCUACAGGACGGUCGUGGAAGUCGAUGAAGAUGAUGCUACAAACCCAGCGGGCCCAUUUAGGAUUCCAAAAUGUAGGAAGGAGUUUCAGCAAGCACAACACCUGAAAGCUUGCCAACAAUGGCUCCACAAGCAGGCAAUGCAGUCCGGUAGUGGCCCAAGCUGGACCCUCGACGGUGAGUUUGAUUUUGAAGAUGACAUGGAGAACCCCCAGGGCCCACAACAGAGGCCGCCACUACUCCAGCAGUGCUGCAACGAGCUCCACCAGGAAGAGCCACUUUGCGUUUGCCCAACCUUGAAAGGAGCAUCCAAAGCCGUUAAACAGCAGGUUCGACAACAGGGACAAAUGCAGGGACAGCAGAUGCAGCAUGUAAUUAGCCGAAUCUACCAGACCGCUACUCACUUACCUAAAGUUUGCAACAUCCCGCAAGUUAGCGUUUGUCCCUUCCAGAAGACCAUGCCUGGACCCUCCUACUAGAUUCAAAAACGAAACCCUCGAGUGUAUGAAUGUGGUUGUCGAUAUAUGUCAACACCACAACUCAUCGCGUACUAUGUAAGGUCUUAUCUAGGAUGUUUGAGGCUAAUGUAAUUAGCACUACUCCAAAAUAAAAGAGGUUUUAAUGUUUUAUUCGAUGUGCAUGCUCUCUUGAUCAACUUAAACUCGUACAUCGGCUGUUUAUCGGAAUGCAAAACACCGUUCAUACUGAUCUCUGGCUCUCCUCCACCAAUCAGUAAUCACGUAUAGGUUUUAAGUUGCUUAUAUUUUUCCUCCAUAAGAAACGUAUCAUGGAUAAACGGCGUUUCUUCAUUUUAAGACUACAAAUUAAUUCGCAACUAAUUUUUUUUUUUUUGUAAAAGAAUUCGCAACUAAUUUUUCAACUAUUAGACGAGCUUUAGACCAAAAAAAAAAAAACUAUUAGACGAGCAUUGCAUGAACUAUUUCUGUCUUUCGCUAGAGCUAUAGCAGACGAAUCCAUUUGACUCCUACGCUUGAAGCUGCCUUUUGUUCUUUCUAUGUAGUUUAAGAUGGAACGUUCUUUAAGAUGCAAACUAGAUUUUGACCCGCGCUUUCAAAGCGCGGGAUUGUUUCUGUUUAAAAUAAAAUAAAAAAUAAAAAAUAAAAAAUAAAAAUAUUUAUAAAUAUUUUGUUAAGUUUUGGUUGGAUCGAUCAAAAUAUUUGUAUUCGAAGAACCGAAUCAAACCCGUAAAGUUAUACCAAACCCAAACCACAUUGGGAAAAUACUUAAAUGGUCCAAAGCAUUAAUAUUGGAAUAGAUAGCACCAUACCCGACUUGAGUCAAAAUAUUUUGAGUAAUCUGAAAUUAUACGAAUCACAAUCUAUACUAUCUAAAAACCUAAAUAUAUGAAAAAUACUAAUUUAACUGAAAUAAAUUGAAAUAACAAAACUUUCUAGAUUUUAAUUAGACUUAAACGUUCAUUUGUAUUAACUCUAGAUUUUAAUAUUUUUUGAACCAAUAAAAUUUAAUAUUCUUUGUCCAACCAUUUUACCCAAAUUUGAUUACACAUUUUAGAUAAUCAACAAACACGUACAUGUUUAUUGUAAAAAAAAUUGACUGGAUUAUGGAAAUGUUUAUAAGAGGAUUUAGAGAUUAAAUAAAUUUAAUUGGUCGUCUGAUAAUCUUUUAAAUAAAGAGAUUAAAUAUAUCAUAUAUAUACUACAUACCUAAAAGUCCUACAAUUAAUGACCUAGAUUUUCUGAAUCUAUAUUUGUUAAUUUCACGCAUUUGUUUUCAUUAAACUGAUUUGUUAAUAUAUUACAUAUACUUAUAAAUAAAUGCAAUGGCAAAUCUCGUAAUAUCUAAUGAAAACUAAGGGUAGAAUCUUAAUAGGGAUUCUGCUUUAAUAGUAUAGAUGAUUACACAACUAAAAGGAGUACAAUGGGAGAUAUUUGACAUUUCUCCAAAAGAUUACCAUUUGAAAUAAAAUAAAAUGUAUUUGCAAAUAAAUCACAAAACUCUGUUAGAAAAGAAACUGAAUUUCUUAAGAAAGUUCUUAAAUUUUGUAACUAUAUUUAUAAGAAGAAAUAGAUUUUGACCCGCGCGUCCGUGCACGUGUAUUUUUUAAAAAAUAUGAUGUUAUUUGUCUUUUAUAUCACUAUUUAGGGUUGGACAAAAAACUCGAUUUCGAAGACCGAAUCGAUUCCAAUCCGGAUAAGUAGUACCAAAUCCGAACCGAAAUCGAUUAAAUAUCCGAAUUAUUCAAAAUUUUGGUAUCUUGAGAACAUAAAUCUAAUCUGAUCCGAACCGAAGUAUUUUGGGUAUCCAAAAUAGAUUUACAUACUUAUAUAUUAAUUAUUUUUAAAUUUAAUAUAUAUAAAAACAUUCAGAAUAUAUAUGAUACUUUUAAAUUCGUUUAAAUACUUGAAAUAUAUACAAAUAAUCAAACGUAAAUGUCUAAAAUAGUUAAAAUAUACUCAAAACUCCAAAAAUACUUAAAUAAUUAUUAAUUUCCUAUCUAAAUAUUUAAACCAAACCAAUUUAUAUUUUAAGUUAGGUACUCUGACAUAUGUUAUUCAAAUUUAUAUAUAAUAUAUUCGAUUGUUUAUAGAUUUUUUUAAAAUUAAAGAAUAUAAUAAAUUUUAAGUUUUUUUAUAAUAAUUUAAAUUGAUUAUCCAAAUCCGAACCGAAUCCUCAAAGAUCUGAACCAAAUCCGAACCGAAUCCUCAAAGAUCUGAACCAAAUACGAAAUUCCAAACAAAAAUGAACCCGAACGUCCACCCGUAAUCACUAUUAUAUAUUCUAUAUAUGUCAUCAUAAGUUACAAAAUAUGUGUUAUCAUAUAAUUAAUCAUACUUUAUAUGGUGUUGUCUUCCAAUUAAAAGGAAGUGGUCUCCUAUGGAUUUGCCAAAUCUAAUAUAUAGUAAAAUUAUAUGGUGUUGUUUCUUCAAAAUCAUUUGGAUUUAUGAUCGGAGUAUUGAUUUAGAAAAUGCUAGAUACUGUAUCUGUUCACUGCCAAAAAAUCAGUUCAUUAGUAUAUUUAAUACAAAUAGAUAAUACAAGUAUAUUUCACUAUAGUCACGAAAGAUUGAAUUACUUCAUUUAGAGCCAUUACUUUUUAUGUAUUUGUAUCUCUUAGGUAUAUAAGCAUAUUACUAAAUUAAAUAAGUAAAUUUAAGAAUUCCAAAUGUUAUGGAAACUCAAAGAUGUGAUGUUGAUAACAUUAUUAUCUUUAAACAUUUGAGCAAGGAAUAUAUGGCAUCUUAUUUAAUUUGAGAUUGAUGUACCCGACAAUUCACAAAAUUGUAUAAUUUAUAUAUUUUAUUUAUGGAAAUUAGAGAGUAACGCAUUAGCUUAUACGACUAUACCAGAAUCCCGUAGACUAUAUUUGAGUGAUUUUGCAACAUGUCUUUUCUACCAUCAAUUUCACAAAACAAAUAUGAUAUGACUACUGAAAUUGAUGACAUGUUUUAUAGCUUAAUAUGACAUAGACAAUUACAUUUAAUGUUAAUUUAUAUUUUUGAUAAACUUUUUAAAAUAUGGUAAUACUUCAUAUAUUACAUUUAAUGUCAAUUUAUAUUUUUUGGAAAUUAUUUUAGAAUAUAAGAAUAACUCAUAAAUCGUCAUUAAAAUAAAUGUAUUCAAAUAUGGCAUUAUAAAUUUUGAAAUAUAAUUUAAUUAUAUAUUUUUAAAUUAUACAAUUUUAUUACUAAAAUUUUCAAAAAUGUAUACAAUUUUUUAAAAAAAUUAUAAAAAUUUAAUCGUAAAAUCAUUAUUUUCUUAUGUAUCUACAAAUUUUACAAAUAUUGUCUAAUUUUAAUUUUUGGUAAUUAUGCAACUUUUACAAAUUUAUUUAAUUAAAAUAAAUAGAUAGAAAAUCUAUCUAAGAUUAUAAUUUCAAAUAUAUACAUGCAUAUUCUUAAAUAUAAUUUUUAUGUUUAAUUAAAUCAAAUUUAUAUUAAAAUAUUGAUAAAAAAAAGAAAAUUUACAAUAUUAAUAAAAAUUUAUUUUAAAAUAUAAUUUAUAUUUAUCUGUUAAAAAAUAUUUUAAAUUUUUUUACUGCACAUGGUGCAAGAAGAUACCUAGUUAUUUAUUUAUUUUUGCAUCUAUGAUUGUGUAAGAAGAUUAUGAAAAAACCAUAAAUUGCCAAACAUUAAGUAUGCAUGAUAUUCUAAUUAAUUAUCCCAUUGGUUCUCCCUUACUAUAUAUAGACAAGGUAUAAGUUUUUCCUAACAAUCACUACUACAAUCUAUAAGAAAUCUCCCUCUUGAUGUAACUUAAUAUGACAAUAUGUAAUUGCUUUGUUUAAUUUGAUCAAUGAAUUGAAGCCAUUCAAAUUGGUGUGGAAGAUUAAACUUAAAAUCAUUGUUAUUGUACUCUGUCUUACAUAACUUUAUAAAUCCAUCUUUUGUGACCAUGAUUUCAACCUCCGCAUAUUGAAGACAUAUAAUUAUGGUUUAAUAAACACUAGGAUAAGACCUGCGCCUCGUGUGCGUCUCGCGCAUGGUAAAUUUAUAGGAAAAUUAUUUAAGAAAUAUCGUAUGAAAAAAUAAAAUUUAUAUUCUCGAUCGAAUAAAUAUUUUUUGUCCUUAAACAAUAUUUUUAAAACUUGUUGUGAAUUAAGUAAUUUGUUUACUGAUGAGCUGAUCCCAUUUUAAAAAAUAUUUAGGUAAAAAAAUCACUUAUUACAGUAGCAGAACUAAUUUUGAGACAAAGACAAUAAUAAAAGUUUGAGAGAUCCAUAAUUAUUAAAGAGAACAUUCUGUAUCUACCCGCAAAUAUGCAUAUCUACGGUUACACGAACUAAACUAACCACAGUCGAUUUAUGUAUGAAGGAACACAAUGUGACAUCAUCACAUUUGAUUUACCAGUCUUCUUCCUAUUUUUACAUUGUUCUAUACAUGUUAUAUAUUUUUGUAUCAUGUUAGUUUUAUAUGAAUAUAAAACUGUUUGUUGUGUUUUCAACAUAAAUUCACUGGUCUCAAUCUAGUUACAUAUUAUACGAGACACAUUUAGUUUCCACCAUGACAUAGAUCUUCAUUACUAUUUCUGAAUUCUAAUUAAGCUCCCAAUAUAUAUUUUCAACCGCCCCCGCACCACCUCCAAAGUAUAUAUAGACUCAUAUCUCACUUACUGAAGGUUUUUUAAAAUAUUAUGAAGUUAAGUUUUUUACAUUCUAUUUUAAAAAUAUCGUUCAUAAGAUGUCACGCCAGGACAUGAGUUACACUUCACACAUAGCAUGCAGAUGCGGAUGACUGUUUUUGUUCGUCACUUGUCACUCCCUUCAAACACAUAAGAGCUUCUCUCUCACAGCGCGCGCACACAAAUGCAUGCACUAUUACACGUGAUCGCCAUGCAAAUCUCCAUUCUCACCUAUAAAUUAUAACUUAACAGCUUCACUCUUUACUCAAACCAAAACUCAUCAUAACAAACAAAGUUAAAAACAUACACAAAUGGCGAACAAGCUCUUCCUCGUCUCGGCAACUCUCGCCUUUUUCUUCCUUCUCACCAAUGCCUCCGUCUACAGGACGGUUGUGGAAGUCGAUGAAGAUGCCACAAACCCAGCGGGCCCAUUUAGGAUUCCAAAAUGUAGGAAGGAGUUUCAGCAAGCACAACACCUGAAAGCUUGCCAACAAUGGCUCCACAAGCAGGCAAUGCAGUCCGGUAGUGGUCCUAGCUGGACCCUCGAUGGUGAGUUUGAUUUUGAAGAUGACAUGGAGAACCCCCAGGGCCCACAACAGAGGCCGCCACUACUCCAGCAGUGCUGCAACGAGCUCCACCAGGAAGAGCCACUUUGCGUUUGCCCAACCUUGAAAGGAGCAUCCAAAGCCGUUAAACAGCAGGUUCGACAACAGGGACAAAUGCAGGGACAGCAGAUGCAGCAUGUAAUUAGCCGAAUCUACCAGACCGCUACUCACUUACCUAAAGUUUGCAACAUCCCGCAAGUUAGCGUUUGUCCCUUCCAGAAGACCAUGCCUGGCCCCUCCUACUAGAUUCAAAACGAAACCCUCUGAGUGUAUAUACCACGAUGAUGGGUGUGGUUGUUGAUGUAUGUUAACACUACGCAGCCAUGGUAUGUGUUCCAUAAAUAAUGUACUUUAAAAUCGCGGCUAAUGUAAUAAGAACUACUCGUAGACCGUAAUAAAAGAGGUGUUUUUUAAUUUUUGUUACUCUUGCUACUUCAUAAAAAGUGAUAAUUAAGGAUGCGCCAAAAAGAACAGAACAAUUAAUCUAUUCACAAGUAGUCCAAUGAACAGAAUAGACUAAAUGUUAAUUAAAGCCUUCGAGGCCAAUAAUAAAAGAUUAUCCACUGGGAUCAACCAAUGACUCAAAUUAAUCUGGUAUGAUCAGAUACUUCGAAACUCUUUUUGAUCACCAUGCAUCUGUAAAUUCCUGCAAAUAUUAAUUACUGAUGUUGCCUUUACUUAUAAACAGUACUUUGAUAGCAAAGGUAGUAAAUUUCUGUACCAUUGAUCAUCUAUAACUUUUAAUAAAUGCUAAAUACUCUAACCGCUGGGAUACUAUAUAUUGUUCAACUCUUCUUGGUGGAUGAUGGUUGGGACAUUACCAUUCUCUUUACAUUGCAAUACAUGUUUCAUGCAGUCCGCCGGAGCCCGAAAUAUUUUAUACCAGAUCAGAAUUUUUUUUUUCUUAUAUCAGCGUUAUAAUUUUUUUUAACUAUAAAAAAAUGAGAUUAAAACUAACAUAUCUUAAGUUUUAAAGAUAAAAAUGUAUAAAUAUUUUAGUUGUAUAAUUAAAUUUAUCUUUAAUGUUUAAUAAUUAUUUUGUGGGGUCAGCUGACCCUCCCUCUUUGUUAGUUGCAUCCUUUCACGGAGUGGUGGGUCUUAAGAUUUCUUUUAAAAAAACGAUUUCCGCGACUUUAUUCGAAAAAAUAUUUAUUAAUUAUUUAAUUUUUUUGUAAAAUUUAUAAAUAAAAUUUUGUUUACAAAAACAUAAUUUUGUAGUAUAUUAUUUAUUUAUAUCUAAACUACAAUAAUAAUAACAAAACUAAGUGUCUUGCCCGCAUAUGCAGGCUUAAUCGUUUUACAACUAUUUAUUAGUUUAUUUUUUUUAAUUCAAAAUCAGCAUAAUAACUUAUUAUUUAUGUUUUCAAAAAAUUAAAUAAAACAUAAAUAUAUAUAACAAAGUUAAUUAAAUAUAUAUGUUUAAUUAAAAUUUAUUAAUUGUUUUAUAUAUUUUUUAAAAAUUUAUAACUGAAAAAUAUGUUUUAAGAUAACAACACAAUAUAUAAGAAUUAUCUUAUUGUUUUAAAAAGUUAAUAUUAUUAAUCAAAAUUCGUUUCUGAUUAUAUAAUUAAUAUAUAUACAUAAAAUUCAUUAAGGGUAAUAUAGAUAUUAACCACUCUAACUUUGUUUUAUAUUUUAUUUUUAAAAUUUAUAAUUGAAACAUAUGUUUUAAGAUAACAACAUAAUAUAUAAGAAUUAUCUUAUUGUUUUAACAAGUUAACUAGAUCUUGACCCGCGCAACAGCGCGGGUAUUUAUUUCCAUUACGUAAACAUUUUUUUUGCAACAUUCGUGAUAUAUAUUAUAAUAUUAAAAUAUUUAACGUAUUACUAAUGUAUUAAAAUAUUGAAAUUUUUAGAAUAUAAUAAUAACUCGUAUAUCAAAAUAUGGUAAUAAUUCAUACAUCAUUGUUAAAAUAAAUAUAUUCAGAUAUGAUUUUCUAAAUUUCUAAAGAUGAUUUAUUCUAUUUUUAUAAUUAUACAAUUUUUAUUACUAAUUUUUUUAAAACGUUCUAUAUUAUUUUAAGCAAAAUUUAAUCGUAAUAUCAUUAGUUUCUUUUAUAAUAUCUAAGUUUUCUUUAUAAAUAUUGUUUAGUUUUAUUUUUGAUAAUUAUACAAUUGUAUAUCAUUUUAUUAGUUUUAUAAAGGUUGAUUUAAUUCAAAAAAAAAGGUUGAUUUAAUAUAUUUAACCAAAAUAAAUAGAUAAAAUUUUAGCGAAGAUUAUUAUUUUUAAUAUAGAACUAUAUAUAUUCUUAAAUAUAUUUUAAAAUAAGCAAAAUUAUUUUUAAUUUUAAUAAUAAUGCUUAAUUAAAUAAAAUUUCUAUUAAAACUUGGUAAAAUAAUAAAAUCUACAAUAUUAAUAAAUUUUAUUUUUAAAUUUAUUUUAAUUUAAAAAUAUAAGAAACACCGAGUUAAAAUAUUACACAAUAGACAAAUAUUGAGAAUCAUUUUGAAGAAAUAACUAAUCAGAGUUGUUCAAUGCACCCCAAGUCAAAAUAGAGAGGCUAGUUACUCAAUAAGUAGGACUUAAUUCAAGAAGCUUAAUAUUGUAUUGUAGGUGUUGGGUUGGAUGGGAUAUUAUUUGGUGGUCGGAUGAGAGGGUAUAUAUGUUGGGUCUGAGCUAUGAAAUGACCAAGUACACAGCAAAACCAAACUCAUAACUAUAAACAAAUCAAGGAUUUAUUCCACUUAUCAUAGGUUAGACCGUUAGAGUUCGAACUACAACGGCCGUAUCAAGACUCAACAGCACGACGAAGUUUCCUCACCUCCUUAUUCUUGAAAAGAAGUAAAAACAUAUAGAAAAUAAUGAAAUAUUUCACCAUGUCUUCUUGAUUUUCCAGUCAAACGAAAUAGAAGCAAAGCAAACUCACUCGUAUUUCUGUGAGGAAGACCGAUCAAUACUCUUUUGUCCUAGCAAAGAUUAUACUACAGAGAAAGUAAAAAAGCAAUGCGACCUGGUCAUUUCAAGAAGUUAAAUCUACAAAUUUUAGUAAAAAAAUCUGCAAAAGUAUGAAGCAGAAAAGUUUUAAAAGGGAAAGUACAGCCUUUUGUGCAGUUAUCAAUCUGAUGUGUUGUUUCAGUGGUUCUGCGGAAUCUAAUGCACAUAAGGAAAAUGUCGCACAGCUCUCUUCGAUAUUAUCUGUGGUUUCCCCAACCUGAGAAACUGAAUUAUUGUGGUCAUGUGGGUCAGCACACUGAAUCACUGAGAACCCUGGCUUUUUAGUAUCUAAAGUUUUAAGAUCGAAUGAAUUGUUUUUCGAUCCUCAUUACCAAGAAAUAGAACACAAAAAUACAUUCUGGUACAAUCCCAAAAUGUAUAAAACUGAGACUAACAAUAUUCACAAGAGAAAGUUCUUUAAAGAUCUCUAGUGAAACUACAGUGGUCAAGAACAUUGAGAAGAGAUAGUGCAAUGGAUGAAUAAAAGUACCGUAGUCCCGGCAAGUUUAUCCAAAACGACAUAAGAAGAGUCAGUCACAGCAAUAAUCCGCGACUUCCAGUCAAUUUCAUAAUACCUGAUACAAUCCAUCAUGUGUGCAGUGAAUAUUAUCACCAAAGCUUUCCAAUUUUCAAACAGUUUUCUAACAGUGUACCUUGGGGAACGUUUUGGUUAAACGUGCACACGCAAGUAAGUUCCAGCUUCAACAUACUGAUUAGCAUGAGAGAUACAAAACGUUUUCUGAGCUUCGCUAACAAUUUUUCUUUUGAUAGAAGAUCUCUUACGCAGUACUGAAGGACAGGUUAUUUCUUUAAAGAGUUUAACUUGCUAAGGAGUCGCAGUGGGUGGAGGUUUAGGGCAUACAAGAGCGUAAAGCACAGCUCCAAAUCGACAUAUAUUAGGUGAUUUAUCGGUUAAAAUGUUUUCAUAAACGGAGCCGGCUUUAUAGGAAAAAGUUGUUAUAAUAGUCGAUUAUUAUUAUGUGAUUAAUUAAUUAUAGCAAAAUGUUACUAAGAAAUAAAUGAAACAUAACUUCUUUCUAGUGAUAGUCCAUUUUUAAAAAAAUCACACAUGAAUCAAGGUUGUGACUUCUCUUUUAAUAUAUAAGACAUUAUUAAUCAAAAUUCGUUUUUGAUUAUAUAAUUAAUAUAUAUACAUAAAAUUCAUUAAGAGUAAUAUAGAUAUUAACAACUCUAACUUUCAACGUGAGAGUUUCGUUGCUAAAAAUUACUUCGCAAAUAAUAGUAUAGAUCAUUUAAUAUAUUUUUAUCAACUAAAUUUUUUAUCAAUAUUUUACAGUUAAUAUAUCUAUGUUAUUAUAUCAAAAAUAUAAAUACAUAUAUACAAUUUUUGUAGUAGGGCUCUUGUAAAGUGGGUGUUCCAUUCAAUUUUUUUUAUAAUACUGUCUACAUGCCCGACUCUAGUGGUGUACACUAUUUGGCGUAAACGUAAUGGAGGAAAGCAUAGAGAACAACAUCAGCAUGCCCUUCGAAAAUUCAACAUGAUUAUUUUACUAGGCCUAGUUAGUGUUGCAUCCAUUUUAUAAAUUCUUUUAAAUCAAAUAAAUUUAACAUUGAUUGAAGUAAAUGUAAAGAGAAGAACAAAUAAAAUGGUGAAAGCAGAGGAGGCAAACCAACAAAAUACUGGUUGCUAGGUUAGUUUUGCCCAUUUUUGUUAGAUUUUAACAUUUUUUUAGAAAAUAUUUCUUUUUAGAAAAAAUAGUGGGUACAAGACUACAAGUGCACCUAUAUAUUCUGAUGGAGAGCGGAAGCUAGGAAACCUAGGGAUCAAGGGUUUGAUCACUAGAUUGGUAACAUGUUCUUGAAGGUAACUCGGACACAAGGAUAAUAGGACGCGAAUACUCUUCGCAGCGCUUGUUAAAGCUUUUUAAAAACUCUAAAGAUGUAUUCAAUAUUAACCAAUCGUGACCUUACAAGCUUGAUUAGGACCCUUUAAAUACUAGAAACGAAAAACAUAAACCUAUAGGAGGAUUAGUUAACUCCUCUUUCUAAAAGGAAAACGAAAACACCUAAAAAGGAAAGUUAAAACCGACUUUAAUAUAAAAGGAAAUUCCUAUAUGGAAGAGAGUCGUGAACCUUGGCAGUCUCGUGUUGAUUGUGUGCGAUCAGAGAUUGAGCUGCAUCACAUUCGUCCCUGGUUACAGUUACACAAGAGGCACUAGUGCAUUUAUCCCUUAUAUAUUAAAAAAAAAGCAUUGCAAUAAAUGUAUCCACACUAGACACGUGACAGUCUUACAAUGAUUUGAUAAUAAGUAUGUUAACGCGUUCAUAUUAUAUUCAUAAAUGUAUUCACACUAUGUAUUUUGCGAUUUUUUUAAUAUAAAACUCACAUACAUAGUUUCAAUAAAACUCUGGAUUUUUUUGUUUGAAUAAAAAUAGAUAACGAAUCAAAAGCUAAACUAUAUAUAUAUUAUUUUUAUUGUUUACGGAUAAAAUUGAGCAAAAUAUUCAUAAAUUUUGAUUUGAUUCGUUAUAUGUUUUGAUUUGAACCAAAAAAUCUGGAUAUCUGUAACACUACGAAACAAAUCAAAUACUAAAAUACAAUAUCCAAAAAAGAAGCAAAUCACAAAUACCAAUAUUUUUAGGAACAUAUAUCUAGUUCGAUAUGUUAUAUGCAUAUCUAUAUAUACAUAUAUGUAAAAAAUUAUAUAUAUACGUUAUAUAUAUUAUACUUUAUAUCAGUUUUACAAUAUUUUUUAUGAAUUAAAUUUAUUAUAUUUUUAAAAAUUCUAAAACAUUUCGGUUAUCCGAGUCACUAAAUAUCUAGGUGGCUAAAGAUCGAAUCGACACGAAUGCUUCCAAAUACCCAGAUAUUUGAUCUGUAUCCACCCCUGUUUACGGAUACAAAUUUAUUUUCUUUAUAUAUAAAAAAUGAAUAAUGUCAAAGCCUUUUUUAUUUUAAAUUAAUUUUAAUUUUAUCUUUCAUGUAUUAUUAUUAGGGCUGGGCAAAAAACCCGGAUCCGAAGAACUGAACCGAACCCGAUCUGAAAAAGUAGUACCGAACCCGAACCAAAAUUGAUUAAAUAUCCGAACAGGUUCAAUAUUUUGGUAUCUAAAGAAUCGAAACCGAACCCGACCCGAACCGAAAUAUCUCGGGUACCCAAACAUAACCGAAAUAGAUUUAUAUACCUAAAUAUAUUACUUAUUUUUAGAUUUAAUAUAUAUAUUAAACACAUCUAAAAUAUAUAAGAUAUUUUUAAGUUGUCUAAAAAACUUGAAAAUAUACAUAAAUAGUCAAAAGUAAAUGUCUAAAAUAGCUAAAAUAUAUUCAAAGCACCAAAAUACUUAAAAUAUCAAUUGAUUUUGUAUCAAAAUAUUCAAAUCAAACCAAUUUAUAUGUAAAUUUUAGAUAUUUUGACAUAUAUUAUACAAAUUCUAUGUAAUAUAUUAUUUUGUUUUAUAGAUUUUGAGAAAUUUUAAGCAUAAAAUGAAUAUUAAAAUUUUAAAAAUAAUUUAAAUGGGUUAUCCGAAUCCGAACCGAACCCGCAAGGAUCCGAACCGAAAUUUAGAAAUACCCGAAUGGGGCUGAAAUCUUUAAACCGAAAACCCGAAACGCGAAUAGAUCCAAACUGAGCCCGAAUGGGUAUCCGAACGCCCACCCAUAAUUAUUAUGAAAAAAAAAUAUCAUUUAAUAUUAAUUAACAAUAUAUUUAUAUAUUUGUCAACUAUUUUUAUAUACUUUUUACAUACACAUAUAUGUGCACCUUGAUGUGAAUACCUUGUAACUAAGUAUUCACCACAAAUGAAGUAUCUAAUUUUUUUAAAAGUUGAAAUAUUAUUUCUUAAUGCUUCUUUCACUACCGACCAAAUUGUAGUGAAAUGAUUUGUCUUAAUAAUUUUCUUUUCUUUUUCUUAAACUAUUAUCUGUUUAGAAACUAUUGGUUCGACAUGACGACUAUCUAAAAUUUAUAACAUGAAAAUAAAUAAAUAAUAUUAAUUUUGGUUUUUACCGGAAAAAAAACCAAAAUUCAAAUAUUUUAACCGAAUAUACUAAAAUGAAUAUUAAUUUAAAAUAAUAGUUAUAUUUUAGAAGAUUAAAAACGAAAAAAAACUUAAUACCGAACUAAUAUCCAGAUUAAACUGAUUUAAUGUCUUUUUAUUAAAAAUAACGAAACUAAUAAUCAUAUUCCUCGCAAGGCUCGCGCGGAUUAUUACCUAGUCCCCUAGUCAUCUAAGAAAAUAGAUGGAUAUAUAAAAAAAAUUCUAUUACUUUGAACUUUUUUUUGUAUUGUUUAAAAUUAUGUUUUAAAAGAAAUAUUAUUUAUGUUUCUAAUAUCAAGAUUAUCUGUGUAAAUAUUUUUAAUGAAAUCACAUUAUAUACAAAUUUAUAUUUUUCAUCUAAGAAAAUAUAGAUAUAAAUAAAGUAUUUUCUUAUUUCAAAAGUAUAUUUUAUGUUAAUUAAAAAUAUUUUUUAAAUGUAAUAUUACUAUUUUGUGAACUUUUUUUUAUGAAAUCAUAUAUAUAUAUAUAUAUAUAUUUCGUUUUUCAAUUCGUUUUUUAACUUUAUUAAAAAUUCCUUUUUAUUAUGUGUAUAUGUUUUUGGAAAUUUUUUAAAAGCAAGCUAAAUAAAAUAAAUAAAUAAUAGUAUUUAAUAUUUUAAAUUCAUUAAGGGUAUCAGUAUAAUCAACCAUCCUGAUAAUUAAUGUGGAAGCGACACAUAGGAAAGUGACUUCUCAAAUAAUAUUAUAGAGAUUGAGCUACACCUUAUAUGUUGUACAUAAUCAUAAUAUAUACAAUCAACAUAUUAUUAGAUAUCUAAUCCCGCGCAAAACGCGGGUUACUACUUAGUUAGAUAUUAUACGAGACACAUUUAGUUUCCACCAUGACAUAGAUCUUCUUUACUAUUUCUGAAUUCUGAUUAAGCUCCCAAUAUAUAUUUUCAACCGCCCCCGCACCACCUCCAAAGUAUAUAUAGACUCUUACCCCACAUACUGAAGGUUUUUUUAAAUUUUUUGAAGUUAAGUUUGUACAUUCUGUUUUAAGAAUAUUGUUCAUAAGAUGUCACGCCAGGACAUGAGCUACACUUCACACAUAGCAUGCAGAUGCGGAUGACUGUUUUUGUUAGUGACUUGUCACUCACUUCGAACACAUAAGAGCUUAUCUCUCACAGCGCACACACACAAANNNNNNNNNNNNNNNNNNNNNNNNNNNNNNNNNNNNNNNNNNNNNNNNNNNNNNNNNNNNNNNNNNNNNNNNNNNNNNNNNNNNNNNNNNNNNNNAUAACAAACAAAGUUAAAAACAUACACAAAUGGCGAACAAGCUCUUCCUCGUCUCGGCAACUCUCGCCUUUUUCUUCCUUCUCACCAAUGCCUCCGUCUACAGGACGGUUGUGGAAGUCGAUGAAGAUGCCACAAACCCAGCCGGCCCAUUUAGGAUUCCAAAAUGUAGGAAGGAGUUUCAGCAAGCACAACACCUAAGAGCUUGCCAACAAUGGCUCCACAAGCAGGCAAUGCAGUCCGGUAGUGGUCCUAGCUGGACCCUUGACGGUGAGUUCGAUUUUGAUGACGACAUGGAGAACCCCCAGGGCCCACAGCAGAGGCCUCCGCUGCUCCAGCAGUGCUGCAACGAGCUUCACCAGGAAGAGCCACUCUGCGUUUGCCCAACCUUGAAAGGAGCAUCCAAAGCCGUUAAACAACAGGUUCGACAACAAGGAGGACAACAGGGACAGCAGGGACAGCAGCUGCAGCAAGUAAUUAGCCGUAUCUACCAGACUGCUACGCACUUACCUAAAGUUUGCAACAUCCCGCAAGUUAGCAUUUGUCCUUUCCAGAAGACCAUGCCUGGGCCCUCUUACUAGAUUCCAAACGAAACCCU